UAUAUGUGUGUGUGUGUGUGUGUGUGUGUGUGUGUUGUUUGUUGUUGUUUAGUCGUUUAGUCGUGUCCGACUCUUCGUGACCCCAUGGACCAGAGCACGCCAGGCACUCCUGUCUUCAUACACACACACACACACACACAUAUAUAUAUAUAUG
rnacentral:miRNA from 1 species